UUUCAUAUGUUAUGGUGAGAUAGGACCAUCACUUCAUAAACUCAUCUUAGGAAAAUCAAGAUUUUGGGGUGACGGUGCUUAAUAAGAUCAAGGGUCGAAGUCUCGGUGGAGGUCUCAAUCGGUGAUCGUGAUGAGGUCAUGGGUUCGAGUAUAACCGAGGGCCAGUUGACAAUUGUUACGCGGACACGAGUUCAAGUAUUUUGGAUACCCGCAAAUGAUGCCUUAUAUAUAUCAUACAUAAGAUUAAAGCCAUAAACAUAAGGAAAAAUAGAAGGAUUUCUGGUGUAAUUGAUAUUGUAAUAGGCCAAUUUUGGCCUGGCUAAAAAUAAAUAAAAUAAAAUAACGGUCCAUUUACAUUUGGGCUAAUCCUAAUACAUUUAGCCCAAUAAAGGGCCCAAUUGUGUAAACCCUAGCCUAACCAGCCGAUAGCCUCAGCGCCACCAUCGCCCAACGUCGCAGCAGCACCCGCGCAUUGCGCACGUCGCCUUUGCACCUCGCGCAUGUUGCCCCGCACAACGCACGUCUUCCACUACUUCCAUACCUGCGAGAAAUUGAUCUAAACGGCAGCACAUGCUAAAAAUAAGAGGAUACAUAGAUUUUUUUUUGUAUAUCUCGGCUAUAAAAGGCCGAUUUUAAUUUGUAAACGGGGUUAGACAAAUGAUAUAUUGAAAUAUAGAGAAAAUACAAAGGAAAAGAAUCAGAAAAGAAAAAUUUUGGAAGGUGAUUUUCUUUAUUUCUUUUAUUGCUUUCUCUGUUAUUUUUUCUUUUUUUUUCUGGGUGUGCAAAACAAAAAUAAGGAGGAGAAGAGAAGGUUCUUACCAGUGGUGGCGAACCAUUGAUGCCCUUGCUGCGUUGCGUCCGAAUCUGAGUUGAAAAGGGGAGGAUUUCGGUAAGAAACAGAAGAGAAAGAAGCAGUCCUUGCAGCUGCUGUUGCUGAAAUUGGAAUGGGGUUUUGAUUAGGGUUUGAAAUGGGUUUUGUUGGCUGCAAAUGAAAUGGGGUUUUAUUAAUAGGCUAUUUACCUUUUUAAUCAUUUUCAUUUUUCCAUCAUUUCAAAAUUAUGGUUUUUGGUUUUUAAAUUUUGCUAUGAAAUAUUGAAAUUGUUUUAUUUUAAUCCCAUUUAAACGCAGUGCGUGGGAGGUUUGGGAAAAUUUCCCUUCCGGUCCUCCUCCUGUUGCGC
rnacentral:lncRNA from 1 species